UGGGGAGUCGUCCAACGGUAGGACAUCUGCCUUUGGAGCAGAAGAACCAGGUUCGAAUCCUGGCUCCCCAGCCA
rnacentral:tRNA from 4 species